UAGUUCUGGCAAGGAUGCAUCAUGGAUACACCAUGCCAGCCCGGGGAGAAUGUUCCCGUGCCAGUGAGCACAUGAAAAUCCCAACAAUAUUUUCCCUUUAAAUUUCUGAAGUAAUUUUCCCACAUUAUAAAUUUCAUGAAAUAUUGAAUUGUAAUCCCCCAAAUGAAUUGUUAUACCAACCGUUGCAUUUGAAUAUCAUUGCAACCUCCGCGGCGGAGCCGCAUAAUGUACACACAUUUUUCUCUCUCGCACCCAAGAGGUGAUCUCUUUACUGUUACCCUUCCCGAGCUGAUUGUGUGAAAAAGAGCUCCAAAUUUGUAAAAGAAAAAUUAUUAAUUAUCCAAUAAAUUUAAUUCUGUGAUCAAUAAAAGUUGGUGGUGGUGAUCAUAAAAAGUGUGUGUUUCACUGGAAAUUGGGAUCAAGGAUCCAGGAGGAUCCUAUAAGGAGUUGCGGCUACUUUUCUUCCCCCCACGUGUGGCAACGUGCGAUCUUCUGGGGAUUUUCCGUGCUCAUCUGGCGACUGGGAAAUUUUUUGCUCCUCCCUCACCGGACCCUAAUCAAUGUAUCUUUAUACAGGUGAGACGUUACCUGGAGCUACUCAUUGAGGGUGAAGAUUCUUAUUCUUUUCUUCUAUAUUCUCAUACAAAGCAAUCUCUUGAGCUUUUUCUGCGUGACAAUAUUAUCUAUAUAGGGGUCGGGCUCAUCGUGCAUAAAUUCGGGAUGAAUAUCCACAUGAGUGAAAAUAUAAUUUCCAGCUGAAUGAUAAACCCCAGCAACAAUAACACCCGCAUUAAAUUAUUUUAGAAAUUCAAUUAAUUAACGCCAUCCACCACCACACCGAGAAUUGCCAUUUGGGGCGUAAUACACAGCGCUGUUUGGAGAAGCUUUUCCCGAUUCUCGCACCACCACACAAUAUUUAAGUGCGUGCUAUAUGUUUAUGUUGAUGAUGCAGAAGAGCUUUCAGUUUCUCAUUUUCGCAAGCUAAAAUGAAUUUAUGGAUUUAUUCAAAUUUUUUCACAUAUCAUCAUCGUUCGCGAGAGAACAAUUCGCGUGCCAAAAUCACAAUUAACAAUAUAUGUGGGGGGGGGGAAUAUUCAGCACCACAUGAGCUUUUGAUUAAUUACACUCAAUUCGUUAAUUGCUAAGCCUAUCAACGACAAAGCUUGCAAUGUAUGGGGAUGAUUUUUCACUGCUUUUUCGGCAAACAUCCACCACAAAACAUUCUCCUUCUGCUGUAUAAUUUUCCAAGAACUUCCCUCUCAAAAAGCUCCCUCAUACAUUAUUGUAAGGGAAUAUGGGGGCAAACCAAGCGUACACAUUAAAAUAAUAAUGUAAGCAUUUUGUGUUUGGGAGAUAAAGAAAGACUUUACUAUAUGAGCAAAAGUACACUCUGACGUACAACUCCACAAAGUUUGCAUGAAAAACCUCCAUUCCUGAAGGACACAAAAAAGCCCACCCACACAAUUCCCCAUUUAUCCCCACAAUAUCUCUUCGGGAUGAUGUUUGAAGAACCAAACCAAAGUUUCACUCGAGGAUGGGUUGGUGCGGGGUUUGUUUGCUCUCCUCGUGUAUUUUCCAUUCGAUUUCCCCAAUAUGAAAAUGCAGUCAUGUAUGCAAAUACACCAUCCAUGGGCCAGCCGUUUUCUUCGACACUCUGCUGUAUGCGCGGUAUAUAAGAAAGGGGCUCCAUCGAGAAACGUGUGGAUGAGUACCCAGAAAGAUAUAAUGUACGAUAGCUAAAUUCAAUGAGUAACUCACAUGUUCAAUUUCAUGCAAAAUAUACCCCUAACUUAUUUUACAUACCGCACCAUAAGUAUGCCACACGAACUUGAGUGUCAAUCUCUUGGCUGAUACGUGCAGUGUACAAUGGAUGAGAAAAAUGUAUACAAUGGGGAUACCUACUGCAAUAAAUUUGACAAUAUGUUACAAAGAAAUGG